GACAGAGGUGCCGAGCGUUAGGCGGAAUCACUGGGCUUAAAGCGUGUGUAGGCGGAUCUGUAAGUACCUUGUGAAAUCCCACGGCUCAACCGUGGAACUGCUUGGUAUACUGCGGGUCUUGAGCCACCUAGGGGCAAGUGGAACAAACGGUGGAGCGGUGAAAUGCGUAGAUAUCGUUUGGAACGCCAAUGGUGAAAACAACUUGCUGGGGGUGUGCUGACGCUGAGACACGAAAGCCAGGGGAGCAAACAGG
rnacentral:rRNA from 1 species